rnacentral:rRNA from 1 species
CAUCGCCGCGGGAAUACAGAGGGUGCGAGCGUUAAUCGGAUUUACUGGGCGUAAAGCGUGCGUAGGCGGCUUCUUAAGUCGGAUGUGAAAUCCCUGAGCUUAACUUAGGAAUUGCAUUCGAUACUGGGAAGCUAGAGUAUGGGAGAGGAUGGUAGAAUUCCAGGUGUAGCGGUGAAAUGCGUAGAGAUCUGGAGGAAUACCGAUGGCGAAGGCAGCCAUCUGGCCUAAUACUGACGCUGAGGUACGAAAGCAUGGGGAGCAAACAGGAUUAGAUACCCGGGUAGUCCCUGUCUCUUAUACA